CUAUAUUGUGGGCUUUUAACGUAUUUAAGGGACCACUUAAGACGAGAUUAGAUGGGCUCUUCUGGAUUUGUUCCUCAUUUGUCACAGGUGUCUUGUAAUUGAAAAUCAUGAGCGAAGUGAAAUUGCAUUGAAUUUCAAGGGAAUUUAGUAUGUAAAUCGUGCCUUUACUACAUGUGUGAUCUGAAAACCCUGCUUGGUUCUGAGCUGCAUCUAUUGAAUUGGUAAAGUAAUACCAAUGGCUUUUUAUCAUUUCCUUCUUCCCUUUAAAUUUCACUUGAAAUUUUAAAAAUCAUGGUUAUUUUUAUCGUUGGGAUCUUUCUGUCUUCUGGGUUCCAUUUUUUAAAUGUUUAAAAAUAUGUUGACAUGGUAGUUCAGUUCUUAAUGACUUGGGGAUGAUGCAAACAAUUACUGUCGUUGGGAUUUAGAGUGUAUUAGUCACGCAUGUAUGGGGAAGUAGUCUCGGGUAUGCUGUUGUGAAA
rnacentral:lncRNA from 1 species